UAUAGUCCCAGGUCUUUCUCUGCCUCUGUGGUGGAUAGUGGAGUGUUUCCCAUGUGGUAUUGGUAUGCUGGAUAUCCCUUCACUGGUAGCCUGGUAACAUACAGUCCCAGGUCUUUCUCUGCCUCUGUGGUGGAUAGUGGAGUGUUUCCCAUGUGGUAUUGGUGUGCUGGAUAUCCCUUCACUGGUAGCCUGGUAACAUACACUCCCAGGUCUUUCUCUGCCUCUGUGGUGGAUAGUGGAGUGCUUCCCAUGUGGUAUUGGUAUGCUGGAUAUCCCUUCACUGGUAGCCUGGUAACAUACACUCCCAGGUCUUUCUCUGCCUCUGUGGUGGAUAGUGGAGUGUUUCCCAUGUGGUAUUGGUAUGCUGGAUAUCCCUUCACUGGUAGCCUGGUAACAUACACUCCCAGGUCUUUCUCUGCCUCUGUGGUGGAUAGUAGAGUGUUUCCCAUGUGGUAUUGGUAUGCUGGAUAUCCCUUCACUGGUAGCCUGGUAACAUACACUCCCAGGUCUUUCUCUGCCUCUGUGGUGGAUAGUGGAGUGUUUCCCAUGUGGUAUUGGUACGCUGGAUAUCCCUUCACUGGUAGCCUGGUAACAUACACUCCCAGGUCUUUCUCUGCCUCUGUGGUGGAUAGUGGAGUGUUUCCCAUGUGGUAUUGGUGUGCUGGAUAUCCCUUCACUGGUAGCCUGGUAACAUA